rnacentral:rRNA from 1 species
UAAGGAAUAUUGGGCAAUGGGCGAAAGCCUGACCCAGCCAUGCCGCGUGCAGGAUGACGAUCUUACGGAUUGUAAACUGCUUUUAUAUAGGAAGAAAAUACUCUUGCGAGAGUAACUGACGGUACUAUAAGAAUAAGGACCGGCUAACUCCGUGCCAGCAGCCGCGGUAAUACGGAGGGUCCAAGCGUUGUCCGGAUUUAUUGGGUUUAAAGAGUGCGUAGGUGGUUUAUUAAGUCAGUGGUGAAAUCCUGCAGCUCAACUGUAGAACUGCCAUUGAUACUGAUAAACUUGAGUUUGGUUUAGGUAAGUGGAAUUUAUGAUGUAGCGGUGAAAUGCAUAGAUAUCAUAAGGAACACCAAUAGCGAAGGCAGCUUACUGGACCACAACUGACACUGAGGCACGAAAGCGUGGGUAGCGAACAGG